rnacentral:rRNA from 1 species
AUUGAACGCUGGCGGCAGGCCUAACACAUGCAAGUCGAGCGGAUGAAGGGAGCUUGCUCCUGGAUUCAGCGGCGGACGGGUGAGUAAUGCCUAGGAAUCUGCCUGGUAGUGGGGGAUAACGUCCGGAAACGGGCGCUAAUACCGCAUACGUCCUGAGGGAGAAAGUGGGGGAUCUUCGGACCUCACGCUAUCAGAUGAGCCUAGGUCGGAUUAGCUAGUUGGUGGGGUAAAGGCCUACCAAGGCGACGAUCCGUAACUGGUCUGAGAGGAUGAUCAGUCACACUGGAACUAGGACACGGUCCAGACUCCUACGGGAGGCAGCAGUGGGGAAUAUUGGACAAUGGGCGAAAGCCUGAUCCAGCCAUGCCGCGUGUGUGAAGAAGGUCUUCGGAUUGUAAAGCACUUUAAGUUGGGAGGAAGGGCAGUAAGUUAAUACCUUGCUGUUUUGACGUUACCAACAGAAUAAGCACCGGCUAACUUCGUG